GCCAAGACUAACAUCAGUUCUGCAUAUCUAAGCUAGUUUGAUUUAUCUGACUUUAUGACUACUUUCACUUACCAACCAGAUCAGUAGGAAAACACGCUCAACAAGAAAUACAUGUUUUAUAUGUUAUAACAUUCAUUUAUUACAGACUAGCAUUUCAGAAGGUAAGGCUGCUCUCCAGGAAGGAUGAACUAUUCUGUAAAGAUGAUUGAUUUUUAAUUUGACAAGAGGUAGAAGGAGG
rnacentral:lncRNA from 1 species